rnacentral:rRNA from 1 species
UACGGGGGGAGCAAGCGUUGUUCGGAUUUACUGGGCGUAAAGGGCGCGUAGGCGGUCAUGACAAGUCACUUGUGAAAUCUCCGGGCUUAACUCGGAACGGUCAAGUGAUACUGUCGGACUAGAGUGCAGAAGGGGCAACUGGAAUUCUCGGUGUAGCGGUGAAAUGCGUAGAUAUCGAGAGGAACACCUGCGGCGAAGGCGGGUUGCUGGGCUGACACUGACGCUGAGGCGCGAAAGCCAGGGGAGCGAACGGG